rnacentral:lncRNA from 1 species
CACAUCAGCAUACAAUGUGUAACACUACCAAAUUACUUUCACAUCAGUAUUGUGGUUUUCUCCCUCCCUCCCUCAGUUUAAAUAUUACAAGUUCUUGUCCAUGAGUCGUCUCUUCUGUAGAUUUAUGUUAUUAUUUUUAUAUUUUUACUCUAGUCUCUCGUCAAGUAUCUUGCAGGAUUUAGAAAAUGAGGCACAGAUCUUCUGUUUUGUGAAAAUGAGUGUUUUUGACAUCAAACUGUGUUGAGAAGGAGCUUGUUAAAGAGGCUGCUCAAAUUGCUAAAUGUUGUGCCUGUGGACUAUCAAAAUUAAUUUAGCUAGUUUUUCUUUUGUCCCUCUUUGCCACCUUGUUUCCUUAUGCAUCUAUGAUGUUGAAGAUACAGAAUGCUUGGAUGGGAAGUGACUUAAACAUCUCACCUUUUUCCAAAAACUUGAGUUUACAUUAUGUGACAAGAUCAAGUCAUUGCCAAAAGAGGGAUUGUCUUCCUCUCUUAAAGUAUUGUGUAUCAUAAGAUUGCUCGCAUUUCCU